rnacentral:rRNA from 1 species
UGUACAGUGGCGAACGGGUGAGGAAUACAUGGGUAACCUACCCUCGAGUGGGGAAUAACCAGCCGAAAGGUUGGCUAAUACCGCGUACGCUUCCGGGACUGCGGUUUCGGAAGGAAAGCGAUACCGUGGGUAUCGCGCUCUUGGAUGGGCUCAUGCCCUAUCAGCUUGUUGGUGAGGUAACGGCUCACCAAGGCAUCGACGGGUAGCUGAUCUGAGAGGAUGAUCAGCCACACUGGCACUGCGACACGGGCCAGACUCCUACGGGAGGCAGCAGUAAGGAAUAUUGCGCAAUGGGCGAAAGCCUGACGCAGCGACGCCGCGUGGGGGAUGAAGGUCUUCGGAUUGUAAACCCCUUUCGGGAGGGAAGAUGGGAUGGGGUAACCCAUUCGGACGGUACCUCCAGAAGCAGCCACGGCUAACUUCGUGCCAGCAGCCGCGGUAAUACGAAGGUGGCAAGCGUUGUUCGGAUUUACUGGGCGUACAGGGAGCGUAGGCGGUUGGAUAGGCCCUCCGUGAAAUCUCCAGGCUUAACCUGGAAAGUGCAGAGGGGACUGUUCAGCUAGAGGAUGGGAGAGGAGCGCGGAAUUCCCGGUGUAGCGGUGAAAUGCGUAGAGAUCGGGAGGAAGGCCGGUGGCGAAGGCGGCGCUCUGGAACAUUUCUGACGCUGAGGCUCGAAAGCGUGGGGAGCAAACAGGAUUAGAUACCCUG